GGGAAAGUAUUCCUAUACUAUACAUUUCUGAAAUGACUUUAGUGAGCAACUGUGGUUUAUUCUUAAUGCACUUUUAGAUCUUACCUCUGUUUACAUUUUUAUUUUUGAAGUUAUAGAUUUUCUGUAAAUGUGUGCAUGUUGUAUUGCUUUCUUUUCAAAUUCUGGAAAUCUAUCUUAGGUGUCUUUAUUAAUUUGUGUAUGUAAAUACCCGGAUUUUGCAUUUAAAAGGACAUUUUUGCUACACUUUAUAUUGAUACAAUUAUGUUUAUUAUACAAAACAUUUUUAGUAUAACAUGCAAUAAACUCUACAUUUCAUAGAGCCAAUU